rnacentral:rRNA from 1 species
UACGGAGGGGGCAAGCGUUAUUCGGAAUUAUUGGGCGUAAAGGGCUCGUAGGCGGCCUAGCAAGUCAGUGGUGAAAUCCCUCGGCUCAACCGAGGACCUGCCUCUGAAACUGCAAGGCUAGAGGCCGGGAGAGGGUGGUGGAAUUCCCAGUGUAGCGGUGAAAUGCGUAGAUAUUGGGAGGAACACCAGUGGCGAAGGCGGCCACCUGGACCGGUUCUGACGCUGAGGAGCGAAAGCGUGGGGAGCAAACAGGAUUAGAAACCCUUGUAGUCC